UACGAGUGCUUCGAGCGUUAUCCGGAAUCAUUGGGCGUAAAGGGUGUGUAGGUGGUAGUGUUAGUCUUGUGUUAAAUCUUUCGGCUCAACCGAGAGGCUGCAUGAGAAACGGCACAACUAAGAGGACGGAAGAGGUCUCUGGAACUCAUGGUGUAGCGGUGAAAUGCGUUGAUAUCAUGGGGAACACCAAAAGCGAAGGCAAGAGACUGGUCCGCUCCUGACACUGAAACACGAAAGCGUGGGUCGCGAAUGGG
rnacentral:rRNA from 1 species